rnacentral:rRNA from 1 species
AUUGAACGCUGGCGGCAUGCCUUACACAUGCAAGUCGAACGGCAGCGGACCUUCGGGUGCCGGCGAGUGGCGAACGGGUGAGUAAUGCAUCGGAACGAGCCAUUGAGUGGGGGAUAACGUAGCGAAAGUUACGCUAAUACCGCAUAUUCUGUGAGCAGGAAAGCAGGGGACCGCAAGGCCUUGCGCUCUUUGAGCGGCCGAUGUCAGAUUAGCUAGUUGGUGAGGUAAAGGCUUACCAAGGCGACGAUCUGUAGCGGGUCUGAGAGGAUGAUCCGCCACACUGGAACUGAGACACGGUCCAGACUCCUACGGGAGGCAGCAGUGGGGAAUUUUGGACAAUGGGCGCAAGCCUGAUCCAGCCAUGCCGCGUGAGUGAAGAAGGCCUUCGGGUUGU